rnacentral:rRNA from 1 species
UACGUAGGGGGCUAGCGUUGUCCGGAUUUAUUGGGCGUAAAGCGCACGCAGGCGGCGCGGCAAGUGAUCGGUGAAAUCCUCCGGCUCAACUGGAGGGGGUCCGGUCGGACUGCCGUGCUCGAGGUCGCGAGGGGGAAGCGGAAUUCCCGGUGUAGUGGUGGAAUGUGUAGAGAUCGGGGAGGAACACCGUGGCGAAGGCG